ensembl:lncRNA
CUCUUCCUCUUCCUCUUCCUCUUCCUCCUCCUCUCUGUAGAGCCACCAUGUGAUCCCAGGAAGACAGGACACAUCCUGCUGGUGUCCUCCAUAAGAUAAGUCUCUAUAAAAUAUACAGAUUAAGAUAUCCUAGUCAUUGGCCAGCAAUAUUUUACCUAAUAUAAGUCUCAGUAUAUUAUUUUGGUCACCCAUGUGGUGGGCAGAACUCGGGAGGUUGGUGGAAAGAUUAAUCAUUACACAGUACAAUAUUGAAGAGAUAUGGAAAGAGUGGACAAUCUUGUCUUGUUACUGGUUUUAGAGGAAUCACAUUGAGUUUCUCUCCAUUUAGUUUAAUGUCUGCUGUUUCUUUACUGUUUAUUGCCUUUAUUAUGUAUAGGUAUGUUCCUAUUAUUCCUGAUCUCUCCAAUACCUUUAUCAUGAAUGGUGUUGAAUUUUGUUGAAGGCUUUUCAGCAUCUAGUGAGAUGAUCAUAUGGUUUUUCCUUUUCAGACUUUUUAUGUGGUUGAUUUAAUUGAUGGAUUUUUGUAUGUUGAACCAUCCCUGCAUCCCAGGGAAGAAGCCUAUUGGAUAAUGGUGGAUGAUUUUUCUGAUGUGUUCUUGGAUUCAUUUUGCCAGUAUUUUAUUGAGUAUUUUUGCAUCAAUGUUCAUGAGGGAGAUUGGUCUGUAGUCCAUGUUCUUAUUUGUGUCAUUGUGUGGUUUGGCUACCAAGGUAGUUGUAGUCUCGUAAAAAGAGUUUGGUAAUGAUCUUUUUUGAUUCUAUUGUAUGGAACAAUUUGAGGAACAUUGUUAUUAUUUCUUCUGUAAAUUUCUAGUAGAAUUCUUCACUAAAACCAGUAGAACAAUCAAUAAUACCUCUGACUAUGAAUCAGAAGAUUCUUUUCUAAUUUCUAUUCUUUUUCCAUAUUUUUAAUAAUUUUUUUCAUUUAUUUUACAAUUGGGGAAGAGUUUCCAUUCUAUCUUCUCCUCUUUCCCUCCUCCUCCUUUCCUCUAAUCCCCAUGCACUCCUCCUACAUCUCUCUUCAGAAAAGGCAGGCAUUUAUGGGUGUUAACAAAGCAUGGUAUAUCAAAGUAAAGCAUGACCAAACUCCUCCCCCUACAUCAAGGCUGGACAAGACAAUCCAACAUGAGGAGUAGGUUGCAUAAAGCCAGCUAAAGUGCUGAGGACAGGUCCAGUGCAGGGUUCCUGGUCCAUCCCACUGCAAGUAGCCCCACAAACAGAGCAAGUUGCAAGUCUGGCAAACACAUGCAGAGGGUCUAGGUUGGUUCUGUGUAGGCUACCUAAAUAUUGGACCAGAGCUGAUAGGUUCUCAUGAGUUUAGUUCUGCUGUCUUUGUGGGCUCAUCAUCCAUCAUGAGCUUGACCACCCACCACUUGGAAUAUACAAUCCCUCCUUAUCUGUUCAAGGGGACAUCUAGCCCUCUUCCCAGUGCUUGCAUUUGGAUCUCUGCAUCUGCUUCAAUAAGUUACUGGAUGAAUGGUCUCUGAUGACAAUGAGAGUAGUCACUCAUCUGAUUACAGCAGAUGGCCAGUUCAGAUACCCACUCUACCUGUGGUAGGAGUUUUAGCUAGUGUCUUCCUGUGGAUUCUUGUGAGUUUCCUUCAAACUGGGCUUCUCCCUAUCCCUGAAAUGCCCCCUUCAAGACAUCUCUUUCAUUACUCUCUCUUCUGCUGAGGCCCAAGAUAUCCAACCUAAACCCUCAUGUUACUAGUCCCUAUUUUGCCUCACACCCCUAAUUUCCCAAAAAUCUCUUAAAUUCCUCUUUCUAGGGAAUUCUAUGCAUCCUUAGUUCUGUCCUUCUUGUUUUCUAGCAUCUCUGGGGCUGUGGAUUUUAGUCUGUUCAUCCUUUACUUUACACCUAAUACCAUUUAUAAAGAGAACAUGCUAUGUUUGUUUUUCUGUGUCUGGGUUACCUCAUUCAGGAUGUUUUUUUUUCUAGCUGCAAAAAUUGUCACAGCUAGAGGCCCAGAUUGCAGGUGGCUGCAAGGCCUUCAGUGGUUACAGGAGUCAAGGAUAACAACAGAGAAUCCCACAGCUGUGUCAAGUCCAUGGACCAAGACAUGGCCCUGGGCAGCACCCCAGUGAGGGACAUCAUUGUGACACAUAUUGGCAUGAAGGCCAAGGAGUUCUUUCAUACUCCUUUGAUGAAUGUUUUCAUUUCUGACUAACUUGGUCCCAGAUGAUUAUUUGAUGAAAUGUGUAUUCAGAAUACAAUAUUUUAGGGAUAGGUAAAUAUAUGACAACAAGGAUACAGUAUGGAUACAACUCCAUGCAAGGAGUAGAUAACACCAUCCACAUAAAGCACCAUCCUCCUGUGUAACCAUAGCUGGCAAAGAACUAUGUAUCCAAAUCUAGGUACACAAGUAUUCUGGUGUUAGAGGAGGUCUGGGCUACUGGAGUGAGACACCAUACCUGACCAAGAAAUUGGUUCUAAGAGAGUUGUAAAUCCCUUUUUUAUUAAGAAAAAUCCAGUCAUUUUAUUCAUUAGGGGAUUAAAUGGAGCAGUCUAUAUAAAAAGUGAGAAGCCAUAAUAAAAUACCAAUGCAGCAUCAAGAACAAAAUAAAGAACAAAUAAACAGCAAAAUUUCAAACCUUAACAAAUAAAACCCCCCAAAAAUAAUAAACCCCAAAGCCGAGCAAAAAAUUAAGCUAAGCCACAUUCUCUUGCUGCAGAUUUAGCAGCACAGACUAUAGCCUGUGGCUGGCCUUGGAAACAUGGUAUAAAGGCAAUACUAGAUGUAAAAAGCUUUUGAAAGCCAGGGUAGCCAUGCCUCCUUGGGGCUUUCUAACUCAAGCCCUCAUCAAGACUAAGUAUAAGACAAGUUCCUAGAAUAUUCUUUGUGACCUUAUGGGAAGAUUUGAUAAAUUAUCAUCCCUGCCAAUCCUGUAAUAUCUUGGCCACUAUUUGUCUCUUUCAGCCAACAUAUACUUGUGUGCUUUUUAGACACCCAAGAAAUCCAGGGACAGCAUUUAAGCCCCAAGAACAUCAAAGAUGACUCAGAAAUCUUCUAUAUAUCCUUUGUCAGGACCAGUCACUUCAGUCCAGGCUGGGAAAUUAAAGAAUCCCUAUUCAUUUUACAUAUGGAUGUUCACAUGUCUAACAGGAGUGGUGAGGGACUGCCACCAUCUCUGGAGUGCAUUUUCUUCAGUAGCACUUGUGCAUGAAAUGGAGUCAGCUUCAAAACUGGAUUGUGCAAUGAAAUAUGAUGGUUUUGGGUGAGGUCUUUCUGGAACUGGUUGGCAUCAACACAGUUUUCCAUGAACGCUUUCUUACCACACAAGGACUGAGGACACAGGCAGCUACAAAGCUGUCAUCAUUGAACUGACAGAAAAGUCUUGCACAUAAACACCUGUACCCUCCAUGUUGUUGUUCCCCUCAAAGGGCCAUAUUCUAUUGAAUGUCAGGGUUGUCAUUAAUUCUUGUCUCAGGUUUUCUGUAUCUUAACUCAUUUUUGAUAUUUUCUUUUCUUCAGGAGGACCUAUAUCUGAUUUUGGCUCGAUCACUUGUAAGUCAGCUGGUAUUUGCCUCACUGGAGAGUUCACAGAUACAACAAGUAUAUAAUUCUGAGGAUGCUUUGAUCCAAGGCUGGACAACUUCAUGGGUCCAAGGCGUUUGUGGCUUCUUAGGCUUCCUCAGUUCUCUCAAGGGCUGCUGUGUGAAAAGGAAGGGCAAUCAGAGUCACAAUCAUCCUGUCUGGACACAGUUUGAACAAAAUCAUGGUCUAUUCAUGGAGAAGAGGGAAAUGUCAAGAGCCCCUCCCACCAACAAUUUUUUGGCUGCUAGGUUUGGUAUGCAAUGGUGGGUCACUCUCCUGUGAGACUUAGUGUUCCUGCUACAGCAGCUUUUUUGUAGGAGGCUCUCAUCCUGCGCUGUGGCCUGUUCCAUCUCAGAUUGGAGAUUUUCUGACCUAGAGGAAAAAGCCAGUUAGUGAAAAGGCCUGGUAGGAGCCUAGUAUGUCAGCUAUUAAGCCUGAACCAGCUCUAUUCAGUGGGAAUAUCUAGCAUGACCUUUCAGCUGAGGUCAUUCUCUGCAUUCCUCAAGGGAGAAAGGACAGAGUUCACAUGGGCAUAGAUUUUCAUCUCAUUUUUAAAAAUUUGCAAGAAAAUUAAUGAGAAUUAGAGUUGCUUGCCAUGAAAAUAUAUCACAUUUCUACAGUUGUGUAGAUCCAUUAAUUUUGAGAAAAACAACAGUGUAGCAAUGUCUGAGUAACAGUUAAGGAGAGAUACCCAUGGCCUUGAUUAGAAAACAUGUGAAUGUGAGCUACAUGGGAUUCUGAAUGUAGACCCUCUGGGGAACCUACAAAAUAAAAGCAGUGAAGGUUCUGCUUAUUCCUACAAUACAGAAAACUACCUUGAUUCAACUCCUGAACCCCUAAAUCUUCUUAUAACCAGAAAAAUAUUUUCACAGGAAACAGAUGCACAAGGCAGAGAGCCUGUGAUCAGCAGGAGUGAGCUGCAUGCUGAUCUGCCCAAAGGUAAAUUUUUUAAAUCCUGCCUCAGAAAACAACAGAGCUGUGCAGGAAUUUUCACUGAUAUGGCACCACAAGAG